rnacentral:tRNA from 1 species
GGCUCCAUAGUACAGUGGUUAGCACAUCUGCUUUACACACAGAAGGUCCUGGGUUUGCGUCCUGGGUGGAGCUA